CUAGCUCCACCGAUCUAGAUCCCUCCCCUCCUCCACUCCUCCCCCCGAUACAGAUCCUUCCGCCGCCGCCCCGUCCUCCCCUUCCUUUCGUCGCCCACCUCUCCCCUCGCCUCCGCCACCCACCUCUCCCCCUCCCACAUCGCCGCUGCUGCCACACACUGCCAAUCCCCUCACUCCACCACGCCUUCUUCCUGUCCCGAUUGUCGGAUGGGCAUCGACACGGCCAGCGUCAAGAUGUCCAUGAACCCCUUCUGCGAGAUUGCCAUGGAGGAGGAGUUGCGGCUCCGUGAGGCCGGCGCCGCCUCCGAGGACAUCGCCGCACAGUCAGUCCCGCGUAGGCCGCCGACAUGCUCCGCACCACGCUCUCCAUGGGUGCCGACCGCGCCGUCCACAUCCUCCACAACCCCGGCCCCGCCCGCCCGCUCCCCCCGCUCGCCGUCGCCAAGAUCCUCCAUGCCCUCGUGCUCCAGGAGACCCCCGGGCUCCUCAUCCUCGGCAAGCAGAAUGCUCCCUCCAGGUGAAGUCGCCCACCGCAGCCCCAGGGGAUUCGUCUCCGAGGACGAGUUCCUCUCCAUCCCGGAGUUCUCCACCAACCCGCUCUCCCAGAGGUUGCUACAUAUGGUUGAUGGAUUGAACUUCAAGGAAUUUAUUUCUUUUCUCUCUACCUUCAGCGCAAGGGCCAGCCUUCAGCAAAAGAUUGAGUUGAUAUUUAAGGUGUAUGGCAUUGAUGGCAAGGGGAAAGUAUCCUUCAAGGACCUGGGAGAGGUUUCACGGGACCUAACAGGCUCAUCCAUGUCAGAGAAACAAAGAGAGAUAAUUAGUACCCUGCCAUCAUAAACACAUCAAGUGUGUAUAACUUGUUUCCAAAGUGAAGGGAACCCUGACACUAAAUUGUAGGUUUCUUCAUUGCAGUAAAUGUUCAGAGUAGCAUGCUUCGCAGUGCAAAUUCCUGUGUUGAUAUUUACUACUACAUCUAUUCGUAAAUAUAAGACUUUUAUUUAAGAACAGAGGAGCAUUAGCUAGGUGCAUCUGAAAAUGUUAUUCCAAUUUCCUCACAGAACCUGUACGCAAUCAAUCGGCAUAGGGAGUUUUACCAUGGUUGAACACAUGUGGAACACAUCAAUACACCCACUGAUUUUUUUCACUUGAUACAUGUGCUGCUCUUUUUCUAUCUAUGUAUGCAUCUAUCUAUUCCUACCAAGCAAAUGGAAACAAACAGUGGAACACUACCUAAUCUAGUCUUGUAUAGUUUCAGGUGUAUAAACUACAGACAGACUUGUAUAGUUUCAGGUCAGGCUCACGUUUCCCCUCCUGCCCGCCGACGCACUGCUUGCAAACAGAAAUGAAGCGUCAAUGAUAUGAACCACAACAAAAAUUGACAGAGCGCCAUGGACCCCAGAAGGGACGCAGCUGCUGGCUCUGCGCCAAAGAGAGCCAUGCAUGCGCCAUUGGUUUUGUCGUCCACCGCUCCUCCCCGUGUUACAGAGUACUUGCUUGUUGCUUCAUUGAAUUGCUUGGCUGGUGCUCGCAAUUGCGUGGUUUGGUUUCGUUUGACUUAGCACUGAAUCCCUCAAUUUACCAUUUAGUGAACAAUCCUCUCAUGGUAUUUGUCUACACUAGAUUACUCCUACUGUGAUGAUGAUGUGUCUGAUGAUAGACACCUUGCAACUAGCCACACAUGUACUGAUAGUUUAUUGUGAUUAUUACUGUACCAUGAGUCAUUCAACACUUGAAGGCACUGAACUACUAUUCUGUAUUUUAUAAUAUGUUCCUGUUAUGCAUGACAUAGGCUUGAUGAAA